GACCAAUGCGAUUCUGAGCCCUGGUUGCGGCGCCGCGUUUAGUGGCGACAGUCAACCGCGAAGGAGCCCCGCCCACAGAGUUGGCUCCGCCCCCGGCCGCUGCGAGCAACGCGUGCUUUUAAAUGCCUGGCGCACGCCCCACGCGGCGCUUGUUUUUGGCGUUUCUGAUUGGCCAGUUUCUUUCGCGCAGCCCCAGGGUCCUUUCACCUGAUAGGUAUCUAUCUCCGCGUCCCUCCCCUAAGCUAGGGUCUGAGGCUGAAAUGCCUGGGGAUAUUCUGAUUAGUCUCUGAAUCCCUCUCUCAUUUCUCUAAGGGCGAGAGCUUUGGAGAAAGGACUGAUCCUGGUGGAAUCGUCAGGUGAUGAAAAUGGAGAUCCCAGGUCUGCCAGAAAAAAAGAGGUCUUACUGAAUUGACUUCGAAGGAGCACAAGGGAACUUUCUGGGAGUCUCUGGGUUAAAGACCAUCCAUAGGGUAUCCUCAGGAGCCCUGACCUGAAGAUGGACAAGCCACAGGGUGGAAGGAGCUGCAUCUGAGUCACCACUGGAGAAUAAUUACCCUCAAUGGAUUUAAAGAAAAGUCUUCUCUAAUACCCACUUUUAUUUAUUUAUUUAUUUAAUGAUUUUUAUUUUUUUCCAU